UUUCAGAGCUCAGUAACCGUGCUUCCUCUUAACGGCCUUGGGAGCUCCAAUGGGGUCGGGAAUGUGAACAAUAAUGGCAUUUGGACAUCCCUCCAUAAGCCACCUCUGCAGCUGCCAUGGAUGCCACGGACACAAAAUAGUAAAACUCUUCCUUCCUUUGUACCCUUGAAAGUUUCUCUUAAAUCAGAUUCAUUUAUCCUCAAUUAAGUUGUCACGUAUGACAACCAGAAACUACUGUUCUUUUUUAGUACUUUUGGUGGUUCAAUGUUUAGCGUGUGAUAAAAACGCAAGUCUACUUAUAGUUGGAGCACUAUCAAAGGCAUCCAUGCAUUGAUUAUGCUCGUAAUCUGGUUCUUCAAUUUGAUACUCCUCAAAGAAUCGCCGUCUUUCUUUA